rnacentral:rRNA from 1 species
UGGGGAAUCUUGCACAAUGGGCGAAAGCCUGAUGCAGCGACGCCGCGUGCGGGAUGAAGGCCUUCGGGUUGUAAACCGCUUUCAGCAGGGACGAGGCGAAAGUGACGGUACCUGCAGAAGAAGCCCCGGCUAACUACGUGCCAGCAGCCGCGGUAAUACGUAGGGGGCAAGCGUUAUCCGGAUUCAUUGGGCGUAAAGCGCUCGUAGGCGGUCUGUUAGGUCGGGAGUUAAAUCCGGGGGCUCAACCCCCGUUCGCUCCCGAUACCGGCAGACUUGAGUUUGGUAGGGGAAGGUGGAAUUCCUAGUGUAGCGGUGGAAUGCGCAGAUAUUAGGAAGAACACCAGUGGCGAAGGCGGCCUUCUGGGCCAUAACUGACGCUGAGGAGCGAAAGCUAGGGGAGCAAACAGGAUUAGAUACCCUGGUAGUCCUAGCCGUAAACGAUGGACACUAGGUGUGGGGGAGCAUUUCUUCCGUGCCGCAGCUAACGCAUUAAGUGUCCCGCCUGGGGAGUACGGCCGCAAGGCUG